rnacentral:rRNA from 1 species
CAGUCGCCGCGGUAAGACAGAGGAUGCAAGCGUUAUCCGGAAUGAUUGGGCGUAAAGCGUCUGUAGGUGGCUUUUCAAGUCCGCCGUCAAAUCCCAGGGCUCAACCCUGGACAGGCGGUGGAAACUACCAAGCUGGAGUACGGUAGGGGUAGAGGGAAUUUCCGGUGGAGCGGUGAAAUGCGUUGAGAUCGGAAGGAACACCAACGGUGAAAGCACUCUGCUGGGCCGACACUGACACUGAGAGACGAAAGCUAGGGGAGCAAAUGGGAUUAGAUACCCCAGUAGUCCCUGUCUCUUAUAC